rnacentral:rRNA from 1 species
UACAGAGGGUGCGAGCGUUAAUCGGAAUUACUGGGCGUAAAGCGUGCGUAGACGGUUAUUUAAGUCGGGUGUGAAAGCCCCGGGCUCAACCUGGGAAUUGCAUUCGAGACUGAAUAGCUAGGGUACGGUAGAGGGAAGUGGAAUUUCCGGUAUAGCGGUGAAAUGCGUAGAUAUCGGAAGGAACAUCAGUGGCGAAAGCGACUUCCUGGACCAGUACCGACGUUCAGGCACGAAAGCGUGGGGAGCAAACAGG